GAUGAACGCUGGCGGCGUGCUUAACACAUGCAAGUCGAACGAUGAAGCCCAGCUUGCUGGGUGGUUUAGUGGCGAACGGGUGAGUAACACGUGAGUAACCUGCCCUUAACUCUGGGAUAAGCCUGGGAAACUGGGUCUAAUACCGGAUAGGAGCGUCCACCGCAUGGUGGGUGUUGGAUAGAUUUAUCGGUCUUGGAUGGACUCGCGGCCUGUCAGCUUGUUGGUGAGGUAAUGGCUCACCAAGGCGAGGACGGGUAGCCGGCCUGAGAGGGUGACCGGCCACGCUGGGACUGAGACACGGCCCAGCCUCCUACGGGAGGCAGCAGUGGCGAAUAUUGCCCAAUGGGCGCAAGCCUGAUGCAGCGACGCCGCGUGAGGGAUGACGGCCUUCGGGUUGUAGACCUCUUUCAGUAGGGAAGAAGCGAAAGUGACGGUACCUGCAGAAGAAGCACCGGCUAACUACGUG
rnacentral:rRNA from 1 species